UACGAAGGGGGCUAGCGUUGUUCGGAAUUACUGGGCGUAAAGCGCGCGCAGGCGGCUAUCCAAGUCAGUGGUGAAAGCCCGGAGCUCAACUCCGGAACUGCCAUUGAAACUGUUUAGCUGGAGUAUGAGAGAGGUGAGUGGAAUUCCCAGUGUAGAGGUGAAAUUCGUAGAUAUUGGGAAGAACACCGGUGGCGAAGGCGGCUCACUGGCCCGUUUCUGACGCUCAUGCACGACAGCGUGGGGAUCAAACAGG
rnacentral:rRNA from 1 species